AUUGAACGCUGGCGGCAGGCCUAACACAUGCAAGUCGAACGAGUGGCGGACGGGUGAGUAAUGUCUGGGAAACUGCCUGAUGGAGGGGGAUAACUACUGUAAACGGUAGCUAAUACCGCAUACCAUCGGAUGUGCCCAGAUGGGAUGAGCUUGUUGGUGGGGUAACGGAGCACCAAGGCGACGAUGCCUAGCUGGUCUGAGAGGAUGACCAGCCAAACUGGAACUGAGCCACGGUCCAGACUGCUACGGGAGGCAGCAGUGGGGAAUAUGGCACAAUGGGAGCAAGCCUGAUGCAGCCUUGCCGCGUGUAUGAAGAAGGCCUUCGGGUUGUAAAGUACUUUCAGCGGGGAGGCGUUACCCGCAGAAGAAGCACCGGCUAACUCCGUGCCAGCAGCCGCGGUAAUUC
rnacentral:rRNA from 1 species